rnacentral:lncRNA from 1 species
UGGGUGUGAGAGAUUGAAAUUUUACCUGAAGUGCCUCACAGAGAAAAUGACAUUUAAGUAAGGCUGGAAAGAGAUGGAGAGGGGCGUAAUGCAAACAUCUCAGGAUGGUUUCCAGGCAGAGGCUAAAGCAGAUGCAAACGCCCUGCAGUACAUUCAUUCAUAUCUGAUACAUUCAAGGAAGAAGAAGGCAGCACAGCUGAAGGGGAGGAUUGAGGAUGACAGUAUACAUAGAUGGGAAGCAAAAGGUGAGUGGAAUUUGGACAGAUCUCUAAGGUCAUUGUUCCCUGGAAUAAGGUAGAGGCCAUCGUAGGAGUUUUAGCAGAUGAGUAACUUGAUUGAUUUAUGUUUUAAUAGGAUCAUUUUGUCUGCUAUGUGGAUAAUAAGACUGUCAAGGAAAAAAAAGGUGAAAGUAGGGAGAAUAGUUAAGCACCUGACUGGAAGUGUUGCUGUCUCAAAAUACAGUGGUAGCAAUUGAAGGAGUGAGAAAUGGUUGAAUUCCUGAAUAUGUGGAUAUAAAACACAGUGUGGAGUAAAGCAUGACUUUAAGGCUUAGGCUUGAGCCUCUGUAGGAAUGGGUUUCUUUUUUCACUGAAAUGGGAAAAAGUAGGACAAAAGUACAUUUGGCAGCAGAUUCAAGAUCACAGUGUUAGAUGUAUUAAUUUUGAGAUGUCUAUAAGGCAUCCAGGUAGAUGUCAGGUAGGCAGGGAAGUACUUAGGAACCAUAUUAUACAGAUGAUAUUGAAACCCAUGAGGCUAAAUGAAAUCACAAAAAUAGUAAGUACAAAGAAAAAAAGGUUUUCAGGGACUGAGCCCUGGGAUACUCUUAUGUUAGGAGGUUCAGAAGAUAUGGAAGAAUCAUCAAAGAUAUUUUCAAUCAAGUUGACAAAAAUCCUCAAAUGGUGAAAUUGUGAAUAAUUUCUUUCUAUUAUUUUCUAAGAUAGGUAAUAUAUUCUUAUAGUUUAUAAUUUAUGUUCAUUUAAAUGCAGUUUUUGGUGUUCAAUGAGUUUUGACAAUUAUAUACACUUGCAGACUAUUAUGUCCCUUUCUAAUUUGUCCUCCAGCCUCCAUCCACAUGCAACAGUUUUCUGAUUUUUAUCACCAUUAAUUAGUUUUGCUUGCUUAGAUUUUCAUAGAUGAUUCUUUUGCUUUUUCUCAUCGUAAUGUCUACAAUAUGCAUGAUUAUAUUGUAUGCAGGGAUCAGUAGUUUGUUCUUUUCAUUGCUAGUAGUAUUUCCUUAUAUGUAUAUGCCAUGAUUGGUUUAUCAUUCUGAUGAUGGACAUUUGCAUUGAAAGUUUUAGGCUAUUAUGAAUAAAGCUGCUGUGAAUAUUAUUAUAUAAGUCUUUUUGUAGAUAGGUAUUUAGUCAAGCAAAAUGAAAACAUAUAAGUAGAAUUGCUGGACAUACAGUUGAAGUAACCUAAUUUUAUAGUAGCCAAACAGUUUUGAAAAAUUAUAUCAUCCUCCAAAUGCAAAAAAUUUUAAAACAGGAAAUUUUUUUUUUUUGCUAUUUCUUUGGGCCGCUCUCGCGGCAUAUGGAGGUUCCCAGGCUAGGGGUCUAAUCGGAGCUGUAGCCACUGGCCUACGCCAGAGACAGCUCACGGCAACGCCGGAUCAUUAACCCACUGAGCAAGGGCAGGGACCGAACCUGCAACCUCAUGGUUCCUAGUCGGAUUCGUUAACCACUGUGCCACGACGGAAACUCCAGAAAAGUUUUUUUUUUUAAUUUGCCCUGAGAAUUACAUGAUUUUAAAUACUCAUUAUACUUUUUAAUGCAAAUCCCUGAUCUAAAAGUUGUGUCAAAAUAUCCUAAGUGGCAGUUUUUGGAGAUCUUUCUAUGGCAGUUAGUAGAAGUUUCAGGUUAAUAAGUGUAGCUGGGACUGUUUAUGAAGACAUUGUUCAUUAAGUAUCACAUGCAAAUUAAUUUUACACGCAAAUUAAUAAACUCUUAGCUCAAACAGUGAUGGGAAGGAGCUUUCUCUCUUCCUGGCUUGGAUAGGAAGUUACCAACAGGAGCAGUAUUAGGACAUGCUCUGUACCCAUUUUCAACUUUUUCAGAUUUAUCCCUUAGGAAUAAAAAAUACUGAAGACAUGGAGACUGAGUCAUAGAGGCAGCCAGCAGAAUGAUCCUCAUCCUCCUCAUUGAAGAGUAAUAAGGAGCACAGGUAGAAUAGUCUUUCGUUGAAGUGGCAGAGGUUAUUGAAGCUGAUGGAAAUUGAGUGGCCAAGAUACCAGGCUGUCAAGGUGUCAGGCAAGUGUCCCCUGUCAGGAUAUGGAUCUUUUCUUUAUUAUUUUGGCUGUGCCCUUGGCAUAUGGAAGUUCCCAGGCCAGGAGUUGAAUGUGGGUCCUUGCAGUUACAACACCAGAUACUUAACCCACUACACCAAUCAGGAUUUAAAUAUGUGCCUUCAACUUUGCCCCAAUAGUCCAGUGCAUUUUAAUUUUUCAAUGUUUAAAUUUAGCUUUUUAAAUUAAAAUUUUGAUAAGUAACAAAAAUUAUCAAAUGUUAAUUACCAUGAGUCUUUAAACUCUGUUCUCUGUACAAAACACAAGUCCUGCUGGUCAUUAGAACCAGGGUAUAAAGGGAUUGUGUCCUCUUAGCUAAAACAAAAUGUGGGGUGCCAGACAUGUACCCAAGCUCCAUUCAUGGAGAAAAUGUCAACCCAUUUCAAAGUGAUUUUUUUCCUCACUCACUUGAUUUGUAGAAGUCACCAGGCUAGCUUAUGGAUUUCUUAUAGAGAAUUGUUCCAUAUGUAGCUGUAGAAUUCAGUGCACCUGUGGGAGUAGGUAAUCAUAGUUGCCUCUUACAUUGCCAUCUUGAAUAGCAACCUCUGCUCUGAGAUUCUUGAGGGCAAUAAUCAGUGGUUGAGGCUCAAGAGGUACAAUAAAUCAUAUCACUCUUUCUUCUCACUUACUGAACUUUUCCAUAUAUUCUGUCUGACUUGUCAUCACUGUAGAUAAACUAUCUAUGCUCCUGUCCAAAGGCAUCACUAUUUCUUAUUCACAAGAGUCUCAUCCUUUCUCUCCUUCUCAAAAACAAUGGUAGGAACAGUGCCUUUGAGUAGGAGAAAGAAGGCAGGUGCAGUGCCAUUGAACUGAAUUUUUUUUCUUAAGAUGAAUAGAACUAAAGAGACAAUGUGUACACUUUUUCAGGAAAAGAUCCCUUUAGUUUAUAAGAGAAAUAAAGUUUCUCUUCUGUUAAACAUAGAUGGAGUACAGUGAGAAUUCAAACUAUGGAAAUACGUCACAUAAUUUAAAAAUAUCAAUAUUUGGAUUUCCCAUUGUGGCUCCGUGGUAACGAACCUGAUUAGUAUCCAUGAGGAGAUAUAGCUACUGGCCUUGCUUAGUGGGUUAAGGAUCUGGUGUUGUCAUUAGUUGUGGUGUAGGUCACAGAUGUGGCUCGGGAUCUAGUGUGGCUGUGGCAUAGGCCAGUAGCUAUAUCUCCAAUUUGAGCCCUAGCCUGAGAACUUCAAAAUGCUGCAGGUGUGGCCCUAAAUAUGUAUAUAUUUAUUGAUUAUGACAUAAUGCAGCUAGAUACUGGGUAUACAGUUUUAAAUGACACAAUAGUUUCUGCUUUCAUGGAACUUAUAGUCAAAUGGGAUGAAUACAUAGUAAACAAUAAGAAUAACAAUUUUAAAUUGAUCAUGUUAGGAGAGGAAAAAAAGCAUAUUUUUAUAGAGUGUAAGACAAUUUGCCCUACCCACCAAGGAUAAAUAAACAGAGCAACUUGCUGUUCUCUCAUAGCUUGACUGAGACCCUGAUAUCGCCUCUGAGAAAUUUCAUUUCCAACCUCCUGAAACCAAAGCAAUGUUUACCAGUGGGACAAUGGCGGACACGUGCAAGUUCCUGGCACAGAAGAGGAAGAUUAGACACCCAUCUCCCAGUUUUCCUCUGAAAGAGCUCUAUUUGCAUACUUUAAAAGCUGUUAUCUAAGUAUCCCACUUCCAGUUGGUCUGCAUCUAAAUGAUGAAUGAGAUCCUCUCUUUUGGGACACUGACAGGUCUUGGCACACUUGCAAGGACUGGGAGCCCUAAGACAAAGAAGGCUGCUUAGACAAACAUAGAUGUUUAAGAAAAAACAAACAUCUAGGACCUACCAAAACAAUAAUAAGCUUCAUUUCCUGAAGGACACUCCUUCAGGACUAGGAGGGGUGGUUGUUUUAUCUAAUGCACAAAACAAGCAUAGACAGAAAUAAAUAGGUAUAUGUUCCAAAGAAAAAGAUAUAACUCCAGAAACAGAGGCUAAUGAAAAAGUAUUAAAAGUAAUGACCAUAAAGAUGCUUACUGAGGUCAACAGAACAAUGCAUAAAGUGAAAAUUUCAACAAAGAGAUAGAAAACAUAAAGUACCAGACAAAUCACAGAGCUGAAGAAUUAGAGUGGUUCAACAGUAGACUAGAUGAAAUGAAGAAAGGAUUAGUGAACUUCUAAGACAAGGCUGCAGAAUUCAUCCAAUUAGUGUCUCCAGCCCCC